rnacentral:rRNA from 1 species
UACGAAGGGGGCGAGCGUUGUUCGGAAUUACUGGGCGUAAAGGGCGCGCAGGCGGCUCUGAAAGUCAGAUGUGAAAGCCCCGGGCUUAACCUGGGAACUGCAUUUGAUACUCUAGAGCUUGAGUACGGGAGAGGAGAGUGGAAUUCCCAGUGUAGAGGUGAAAUUCGUAGAUAUUGGGAAGAACACCGGUGGCGAAGGCGGCUCUCUGGACACGUAUUGACGCUGAGGUGCGAAAGCGUGGGGAGCAAACAGG